AAAAGGGACAGGCGGAGUGCUUACUGGCUGUGGACAGCAGCUGCUGCGGCUGAAGCUGGAGAGGCCAGAGAAAGGUGAAGAAGAAGAAAUCAAAGGCCAUCCAGCCAGCAGCUGCCUCCUGCUGCAGGCAAGAGAGAUCCUGUCUCUCCGGGUGAGGAAGGAUCCCUCUUCGUAGUCCGCAGCAGGCCAGACUGCAAACGUGCACCGCGGGGUGGAGGACAGCCAAGCGACCAGAAUUACAGAAGAGGAAGGGAGGAGAGACGGAGACAGAAGUGUCUGAACUGUCAAAUUCUCCCGACAGCGCCGAGAGCAAGAGCUGCAGUGCCUUCAGCAUCCGUUCAGGGAAAGAGCGGCGUCUCCAGAAGCUCCUGCGGAAGGAGGGGUUCCUGCCUGAGGGGAGCCACAGUCAUCCCUGUGGAUAACAGUUGCUUGCUCUUUCCCUCUCCCAGAGGCAGCGCUGAGGACUCGGUUGUCAGUUCCUCCCGGGGACGUUGUGGACUGCAUCUGGCUCAGGUUUGGGUGGGUUGCCUUUGGCCUCAUUCUCCGAGCGGCAUGGGCGAACAGGGACAGCUGGAGCGCUUACUGGCUGUGGACAGGAGCUGCUGUGGCUGAAGCUGGAGAGGCCAGAAAAAAGUAAAGCGGCUGAAGAAUAAAAUAAAGGGGAUCCAGCCGGCAGCAGCCUCCAGCUGCAGACAGGAGACAGCCUGCCUCUCUGGGGAGGAAGGAUCCCUCUCGGUGCAGUCCUCAGCAGAUCCGAUCACCAACGUGCGCGGCAGGGUGGAUGACAGUCAAGUGACUGGAGCUACAGAGGAGGAAAGGGCGG